rnacentral:rRNA from 1 species
CUACGGGUCGCAGCAGUGAGGAAUAUUGCACAAUGGGGGGAACCCUGAUGCAGCAACGCCGCGUGGAGGAUGACGCAUUUCGGUGUGUAAACUCCUUUUAUAUGUCAAGAAAAUGACGGUAGCAUAUGAAUAAGCACCGGCUAACUCCGUGCCAGCAGCCGCGGUAAUACGGAGGGUGCAAGCGUUACUCGGAAUCACUGGGCGUAAAGGACGCGUAGGCGGGUUGGAAAGUCAGGUGUGAAAUCCUACAGCUUAACUGUAAAACUGCACUUGAAACUUCUAAUCUAGAGUAUGGGAGGGGGAGAUGGAAUUAGUGGUGUAGGGGUAAUAUCCGUAGAUAUCACUAGGAAUACCUAAAGCGAAGGCGAUCUCCUGGAACAUUACUGACGCUAAGGCGUGAAAGCGUGGGGAGCAAACAGGAUUAGAUACCCUCGUAGUC